rnacentral:tRNA from 1 species
GCCGGAGUGGCGGAAUUGGCAGACGCGCGGGAUUCAAAAUCCCGUCAGGAUAACCCCUGGUGGGGGUUCGACUCCCCCCUUCGGCACCA